ensembl:lncRNA
CACAUGACUUAUUACACGUUUAACAUGAAUGAUAGGUUUAUAUCAAUGUGCUCGUUAUUGCUCAUUCACAGGGAUCUGGAAUCUACGACUAAUAAUAAACACAGACAGUUAAAUUCACUGGAACAAGACAGGAUAAAAUCCUGAUGAAUAAUCCUGAUAAAAUUUGCUCCCAGACUUUUGAAUUCAAAUUUUCGGUGUUGGUCUGCCCUCAUGUUUAAUUUUCAGUCUCUUCUCGUAAGUGUGAGCACCAGAAGACUAAGCGAGCUGCUAGCAGAAGAAGGAAGUGACUGCUAGCUAGAUUAAUAAACAACAAAUUUCAGAAAUGAAAGACAAAAAGCCAGAACAGCUUGUAGUUACACUGGAAAAUGUAUGUAUUGUGAGGAAUUAGCCCGGGGAAGGGCGGCGCACAGACCCACAGGAGACCAAAGGAUGGUGGCAGACGGUGCUUUAUUGUGGCUAGGGUGAGGUGAACGUGUUAUAAAUGGAAGAGUGCGGGGGUUUGUGAAGGCGCGACGGCCGGCGGAGUCGACUCGUGGCGGAGGCGGGAUUCCCGAGGCGGGGCGGGGGUUUUCCCGGGCCGGCGUCCUCCGUGUGUGCGACUCUCACUAUCCGGCGGUCUCGUCCGCGCUUACGCCUCCUGGAGAGAGAGAGAGAGAGAGAGAGAGAGAGAGAGAGAGAGAGAAAUUAGCGUGGGGCGUGAGGUUACCGUCGUGAUCGGAGGUUGCGAAUCGCUGCAAACACGCACGGAGUCCGUUUUGACGCCACGAUAUUCUCUUCCCCUUCCCGGCCGGAAGCGCGCCCUUUUAUCCUCCUCCGUCGGCGCCUGAGUGGUGGGACUUCCCCGUUGGAUCCGCCAAUCGCUGGCCGGAGUCGCGUCAGUCCCGCCCUGCCGCGGCGGUCCUUCCGGCUGGCGGAAUGUUCGGCAGGAAGCUGCCCACGUCGUGCCGGUGCGGCAGUCGGAGAAGGAGCGUUUUCCCUCUUGUGUGCGCCGGAUCUCUGCCCGUCGCGACAGUGGUGUUGCCGUACCUAGUUGUCCAAGAUGCGUGCGCUACUCAGAUCAGGCAGCGACUCACAUCCAUGGGCCUUGCUGGGCCUCAUAUACGAUACAUCAGAUGUGCUGCUCCUGCAAGGACCGUGUUGCAGCAAGGCAAGAGUGAAAACUCAUCGUACUAGUUGAACACACCUAAGCUGGUAAAUGCAGGCGACUUUAUGCAAAUGUGGAGUGACUUGGUGCAGAGACUACCAAUGGGAGUGAAGACAGGAGAGUGCACGUGAUAAGUAGAAGCUACCAGAAGGAGCGAGGACCUGAGGCUGAGACGCCCGGCUCUGGGAACAAGCAGCACCAAGCCAGCCACUUCACCCAGGAAGCACGGAGACCAUGGCCGAGGAGGCCAUAAGCUAAGCUAAGCUAAGCUAAUUGCACUUUUCCCACAGACAGAUGGCCUCAGUGGCAAAGAGCACACACUGCUUCUCCUCGAUCUCAUAGGAUGUGAUGCAUAUAUACACUGGUGAGUUUUAUAUAAGAUCCUCUUCCUCCAGAAGGUUCCAUUUUAGCAGCAAGAAAACUGAUUAAUUGUCAAAAGUGGAAUGUUAGUCGCACCACCCACUGACAAAUGUUACUAUGACAACUGGUAGCAGGAACACCUACUGGCGACUUCAUAGUACAGCGACUAUGAACGUAGCAUCAGAUAGAUAAGAAAGUUUGAGCAGCGUGUCUCAGCUAGGUUAGAGUUCAGAUGCUGGGAAGGUGGGAUUUACAAGGGAUUCAAGCCUCGAUAUUUUGUGAUAGAAAUAUGUGGACUUGGUGUAUGACUGCAGGUUGCCUUUUGCCUCAUAAAUGAAAUAGUGUAUAGUGAGUGUUGACAUUAUGAAAUUGACUAUUGUAACAAAAAAACAUAUAUUUUAAUACUCAUAUGAAAUAUACAGUAGGAAAAGAAUAAUGUGCACAACAGUUCAGAUAUUCCAAACUGUUGUUUAAUUGAUUUAGCCAUAAUUAUUCAACAGUCAACUCAACAAUUCCGGUAGUAGUAGUAGUAACCCUAACCCAGACAUCACAAUCAUCAUAUUCAUGUGUUCAUAGAUAUAGAACAAAGUGAAAGUAAAAAGUACAGAUGUUUAUUAUAAAACAACAACAAUCACAAAUCAACGCCGAUCAUCUCUGGACAACAGCAACUCAGUCAAUCAGUAGUCCCACCCCACCCCCAACUCCUACAGCCCACACUUCUAUUCAGAAACUGCCUUUACCUUCACACUCUUUGAAGGAAGAUCCACAUGUUGACAUGUUGUGUAUUUGUGUGUGUGUGUGUGUGUGUGUGUGUGUGUGUGUGUGUGUGUGUGUGUGUGUGUGUGUGUGUUUUAAUGCCUGUUCUGGAUUCCUGGAUGUGUAGCCAGAUAGUAAAAUCCAUCUUUUGGGAUCUGCUGUGGAGCUGCUAAGGGCAGAGAAAUACAGAGAAACAUCUGAUUACUAACUGAUAUACUGAAGUUAUUUUAUCAUUCUUAGAGAAGGCAAUCCUGUAAUUCUGCUCCUUUACUUCAAAUGCUGCAUAAAUGAGCAUUAGGCUCUGUUCUGGUAACAAAAGAAAUCUAAAGUAUUAUUUCACAUACAUGCUGCACAUUUUGGACUCUUAUAGACUGUUUUUAGUUUCAGCUGUUUGCCUAAAGUGUGCAGCCUGUCAAUUCUGAAAAAAACAACAACAUUAGUUUAUGAAGCUCACGUUCUCAUUCUGAGUCAUUUAUAUUUCUAAGCCACAUAAAUAAAUAAACUUUACAUUAAUAGUAAACUCACCUGGUUGAGGAGCUGAGGGAGUCUCGUAAAUUGACUCAUAAACAUGUAUCUCAUCCAAAGAUUCUGCUGAGACACAGAGAGUAGGGGUCACCACUAGGGGUCACUAUUCUUAUACACAACUAAUCCCCAUUCUUUUCAUUUCAGUGCAAAGUUUACAGUCAGUAAUGCAGUAAUUAUGUGAUUUGCUUUUAUAGUAUAAUAAUAAUAAUAAUAAGAAGAAGAAGAAGAAGAAGAAUGUUGUGGUCUGAUGAAAAGUUAAUGUUAACACCCCAGAGAUGAUUAUUUUCCAGAUCCCUGAGUGUUUUUUUUCCUCUUAUACCGCAGCAAUUUGCCAACAAUUACACUACAGUUCCUUUGAGACAUGUGAAGUCAGCCAACCACAACUUUUCUUUUUUUUUGACUUUUACUUACAUUUACAUUUAUUCACUAAGCAGACGCUUUUAUCCUAAGCGACUUACAAAUGAGAAAGAUACAAGCAAAGCGAUAUCAAGCAGAGAACAAUACAAGAAGUGCUACCAUACAAGAUCUAUUAAUUGAAUUCCAGAAGAAGCAAAGUGCAGAGUAGAGGUGUAAGUGCAUUUUUUUUAUUAUUAUUAUUAUAAUGAAUUUGUUAGGUGUUCAUAGAAGAGGUGGGUCUUUAGUUGUUUUUUGAAGAUGGUGAGAGAUUCUGCGGUCUGGAUUGAAUUUUUUAUUCAUUUAUCGAGUAAUCGAAGCAGAGCUGGGUGAAGUAUUCCAUAGCUAGCGCCCUCAAUACCACAAACUUGACGCUGAACCUCAUUAAAUGCGGCCCGGGCCCGGGCUGUCUUGGCUGUGUAGACAGGGGAAACGGAGAUGGUCACAUCCCUCACUUUAAUCCGCUGGAGCUCUCUCUCACGGCGUAAAAUAUCAACACAGCCACUGUGAUAGUGGAAUCUGCACACAAUAACUCGUGGUCGUUCACCAGGCUUGGGCUUCGGCUGAAGGGUCCGGUGGGACCGGUCCAGAACCGGCUCCUUCUCCAGACCACACGCUUCUUUUAACAAGGCCGCUACAGCAGCGGUUGUACAGGUGUCAGCGCCCUCUGGAACUCCCACUAUCCUAACGUUAUUGCGCCGUGACCUCGACUCCAAAUCCUCACACUUAUUCUCUAACUGAGUCACGGUCACAGUGAGAGACUCGACAGUAGUCUUCAUAUGAAUCAUGUCAUCGGUGCAACCGGAGAGCGUGUGCUCCAUUUCCCCAACAGUACCUUUCAGUGUUGAUAUGGUAGCCUCGGUAGCGACUUUAUCACUGGCCAGCUGUGUUUUCACGGCCUGCAGGUCAAGCUGGAUAGUAGACAGCGUACCCCCGAGAGUCUUCUGGAGCUUCUGGAGCUCCUUUUUAAAAAUAUCGGCGAUGUCCUUCCUCAGUAAAGCCAGCAGCUCAAGCCUGAGUGCGGCGAAGUCAGGGUCACCGCUCGGCGACGCGGAUUCAGAGAGAGAAGGGGACUCGCUCACGGCGUGCACACUUGGCCUCAGUCGUGUCUGAAUACUACCACAGGUUUUCGUGUUCUUUCCAGACAUUUUAACAUACCACAAAGUUAAAAUUACAAACAAGGAAACAGAGUAGAAUAAUUCAAAAUAUAUUGUAUGACCGAAAAGCGCUAAUUAAUUACAAUUACACGAAAUCAGCAGGAGCCUCCAACUUCGCGUCCUACUCCAUCGAAUUCCGAAUUCCCAUUCAACCACAACUUUUCAACCUGCGUCACAGAGCAACAUAACACAUUCAUAAUAAAUCUACCUUCUUCCACAUACAGAAGUCUAACAGACAGAUGAUUGUCUAAAUCAGGUGUGUCUAAUCUUAUUGGGAAAGGGCCGGUGUGGGUGCAGGUUUUCAUUCCAACCAAGCAGGAGCCACACCUGAGUCUACUGAAAGCCAAGAUCAACUGAUUAAACAGGUGAAGGUAAAUUGUAAGUCGCUUUGGAUAAAAGCAUCUGCUAAAUGAAUAAAUGUAAUGUAAAUGCAGAUGUAAAUCAGGUGUGGCUCCUGCUUGGUUGGAAUGAAAACCUGCACCACACUGGCCAAUUGCAGAUAAGAUUGGACACCCCUAGUCUAGUGUUACUGACUUACAGGGGAGAGACAGUAUGCCCCUCCUAUUUUGCUCUCUUGGCCAUAGAUAUCUGUGGCAUCAUUGGGACUUGAUCUCCAGACGAUAGGGUGAAGGCUUUUCUGCUGUGCCACUCAGGAACCUGACUGAUAAAGCUUUAAAAUGCUCCUUCUAAUAGGAACCCUUCAAAAACGAGGUUUCAUCUCCAGAUAAAACUUUGUGACAUUGUGUGUGAAGAUAAUGUUUUAAGUGAUUACCUUUUUCAGCUGAAUCGUGCUGUACUUUGGCGGUGCUACCUGAAUGAAGAGGUAAUAAUAAGAGUUAAACGGGUUGCGGAUUCUGUCAGGCUUUAAUGCAGAGGAACAACACUACAUAUGAAAAAAAUUAACAUGUUUUACAUUAAGUGUCACAUAUUCCUCGUAAUGAAGGUUAGGAUGGAUGCAAAUGCAGGUAAGAGUUUAUUAGAGAGAGGCAGGUAGAUAAAUCCAAAUCAUAAGACAAUAGCGUGGUCGAAAUAACAGGUAAUGGGUCAGGCGAUCUACAAACAGGCAUAAACUGGGCAAGGCUAGAAUCAAGAACAAUAAACGAGAAACAAGGUCAAUGAACAUGAUGCAAAAUGAGAAACAAGGAACAACCGCUUGGUAUGGUGAUAACACUCAAUACUUCACAAAGUCAUGGUGUUAAAAAAGUUUCUUUUAUAGCGUGAAGUGAGUGAGUGUGAGAUGGGCAACAGGUGUGUGUGAUUAGAAUUCCGGAGGUGGUGAAUGUGGGGGGGGGAGUGUAGUCCAUGACGGGCAUGUGAAGGUGAACAUGUGUGUGUGUGUGUGUGUGUGUGUGUGGGAAGUGUAGUCCAUGGCGGCCAUGUUUGUAGGCCGCAGUGCAGGAUGGGAAAUGUAAUCACUGGUUUGCUGUUAUAUGACAGAACCCCCCCCCCACCUCCCCAACCUCAGGGCGCUUCUCCCGAAGCGGAAAAUAACACUCCCUCCCCCAGUGGUCCUGGCCCUCUGGGCAAAAUGUCUUCACAUCACCUCAGGUUACAAUGCAGGCAUUGUCUGACAAGUAGCAGGUUCCUCCAGGAACUGAGGAGCAGACAUGAGGUCAUCAGUCUCGAGCAUGGGGUCAUCAGUCUCGAGCAUGAGCAUAACUGGGGUCAUCAGUCUCGAGCAUGAGCAUAACUUGGUUGGUUGUGAUGUCCGCUUCAGGCAUGAGCAGAACUUGGCCAUGUCAGCAGACUCGGGCAUGAGCAGAACUUGGUUGGCCGUGACAUUGGUUUUAGGCAUGAGCAGAACCAGGUUGGUCAUGACGUCGGGACAGGAACUUGGCAUGAGCAGAGCUUGGGUUGGCCGUCUCUUCGACCUGGGGCAGGAAUUUGUCAUAAGCAGAGCUUGGGUUGGCCGUCUCCUUGACCUGGGACAAGAACUUGGCGUGAGCAGAGCUUGGGUUGGCCGUCUCUUCGACGUGGGACAGGAACUUGGCGUGAGCAGAGCUUGGGUUGGCCGUCUCUUCGACGUGGGACAGGAACUUGGCGUGAGCAGAGCUUGGGUUGGCCGUCUCUUCGACAUGACAUGGGACAGGAACUUGGCGUGAGCAGAGCUUGGGUUGGCCGUCUCUUCGACCUCAGACAGGAACAUGGCUUGAGAGGUCGUCCCUUCAAACUCGCACAGGCACUUGGCUUGAGAGGUCGACUCUUUGACCUCGGACAGAAACCUGGCUUGAGUACUCGCCUCUUCGACCUCGUACAUGAACAUGGAUUGGGAGGUCGUCUCUUUGACCUCGGACAGGAACUUGACUUUAUGCUGGAGCUCUGGGGAGGAGGUCGCCACAUUGACCUCCGACUGGGACUCUGGAGAUGAGGUCACCACGUUGAACUCUGGCUGGAGCUCGGCAGGUGAGACCACAUAGUGGGUCUUAGGCAGGAGCUUUGGGAAGGAGGUCACCCAGUUUGCCUGCUCACAAUAGGUGGUGAACGGCAAGUCAGGUUUAUCUCUGAGGCAGGCCUCCUGGAAAAGUUCCUCCAGGAUGACCCAGGAUUUUGAACUGCAAGAAAAUAUUCAGGGUAACCUGAUAACCCAUCAUACAGCUCUGGGAGGUCUACGACAGUCCACUGAGGAAACUGGAUCGAAUCCACAGUUGGGACGGUUUGCCUGGUUUCCCUAGCGUGAUGUCUCCCCCUCUUUCCUGCUGCUUCCAUGUUAUAGGCGAAGUAUUCUGUCACAUAUUCCUCGUAAUGAAGGUUAGGACGGAUGCAAAUGCAGGUAAGAGUUUAUUAGAGAGAGGCAGGUAGAUAAAUCCAAAUCAUGAGACAAUAGCGUGAACGAAAUAAGAGCCAAUGGGUCAGGCGAUCUACAAACCUAUAAACUGGGCAAGGCUAGAAUCAAGAAUCAAGAACGAUAAACGAGAAACAAGGUCAAUGAACAUGAUGCAAAAUGAGAAACAAGGAACAACCGCUUGGUAUGGUGAUAACACUCAAUACUUCACAAAGUCAUGGUGUUCAAAAAGUCUCUUUUAUAGCGUGAAGUGAGUGAGUGUGAGAUUGGCAACAGGUGUGUGUGAUUAGAAUUCCAGAGAAGAUGAACGUGGGGAGGGGGAGUGUAGUCCAUGGCGGCCACGUUUUUAGGCCACAGUGCAGGAUGGGAAAUGUAAUCACUGGUUUGCUGUGAUAUGACAUUAAGAUUCAUUUAACUGACAGUGUUUACUGCAUGAAUAAAUGAUAAACUUCAGCAUUUAUAAAGUAUAAAGUUAAUAAGACAAAAGAUGUCCUGAGGAUGUCUGAAAACUUAAAAUUACAGCUUUACCUCUGACUGUUGCAAAGCACUGACACUGGAGACUCCUUCCAUUCAUGUUACAUGAACAUCUCCUUGUCACCAUAUCAACAAUUACAUACAUUUUUUAAUUUGUUUGUGUGAAGCUGUGCACAAAGUGCAUUAAUAUAAACCUACUCUACUGUCAGAGCUGUUGUUCUAGAAAAUUGCACAAUCACUAAUGUCAAAUAAACAGUGAGCAGUAUAUCUAACAAAACAAAUGAUCCAAGAGAUAAGGACAGGCCAAGCAGGUUAGUGGGUUAGCAUUCUAGCUCAGUAGUGAAGAUAAUAAAACUUUACUGUAUAUAAUUUAAAUGAAAUGUUACCUUUCCUUUUGGAGAAACACCUCCACAGAACCAGAAGUGACACUAAAACAAGCGCACAACCCCCGGCUACUAAAGCUGUUACCGUCAACCAAUCUGAAAACCAAAUCACAUGAUCACCUCAGAUGUGUUUACCAAAAGAUAAACAACUAUUUAAAAAUAAAAAUAAAACAUCUCUGUAGUUACCUGUUCAUAUACUCUCAGAUAGUGGUGCUUGAAAGUUUGGAAAUUAGAGUCAGGUGUUUUCAAUCAAUGAAAUGAUUGGUAUAAUUAGGUGUGAGUGAGCAUCCUGUUUUAUUUAAAGAACAGCGAUUAAUCAGAGUCUGAUCUUCACAACAUGUGUUUGUAGAAGUGCAUCAUGGCAUGAACAAAGGAGAUUUCUGAGGACCUCAGAUAAAGAGAUGUUGAUGCUCAUCAGGCUGGAAAAGUUUACAAAACAAUCUAUUAAGAGUAUGGACUCCACCAACCCACAGUCAUAUUGGGUAUAAAUGGAGGAAAUUCAACACCAUUGUUCACCUCCCCAGGAGUGGAGACCAACAAAGAUCACUCCAAGAACAAGACGUGUAAUAGUCCACGAGGUCACAAAGGAACCCAGGGUAACUUCCAAGCAACUAAAGUCCUCUCUCACACUGGCUAAUGUUAAUGUUCAUGAGUCCACCAUCAGGAGAACACUGAAGAACAAUGGUGUGCAUGGCAGGACUACAAGGUGGAAGUCACCGCUCUCCAAAAAGAACAUUGCUCUCCUCCUGCAGUUUGAUAAAGAUCAUGUGGACGAGCCAGAAGUGUAAUGGAAAAAUGUUUUGUGGAUGGAGGAGACCAAAAUAUAAUUUUUUGGUUUAAAUGAGAAGUGUUAUGUUUGGAUAAAGGAAAACGCUGCAUUCCAGCAUAAGAACCUUCUCCCAUCGGUGAAACAUGGUGGUGGUAGUGUCAGGGUUUGGACCUCUUUUGCCUAAUCAGGUCCACGACGACUCGGCAUCACUGAUGGAACAAUGAGUUCUGAAUUAUAUCAGUGAAAUUUAAAGGAAAAUGUCAGGACAUCUGUCUGUGAACUGAAUCUGAAGAGAAAGUGGGUCAUGCAGCAAGACAAUGAGCCUAAGAACACGAGUCGUUCUACCAGAGAACGCUUAAAGAAGAAUAAAGUUAAUGUUUUGGAACGGCCGAGUCAAAGCCCUGACCUCAAUCCAGUAGAGAUGUUGUGGAAGAACCUGAAGCGAGCAGUUCAUGUGAGGAAACCCACCAACACCCCAGAGCUGAAGCUGUUCUGUACUGAGGAACGGGAUAAAACUCCUCCGAGACGACGUGCAGAUGAUCAACACUUACCCCAAACGUUUAUCUGCAGUUAUCACUGCACAAGGGGUCACACCACAUACUGAAAGCAAAGGAGCACAUACUUUCACCCCUCACAGAUCUGUAAUACUGGAUCAAUUUCCUCAGUAAAUAAAUGACCAAGUAUAAUAUUUUUGUCUCAUUUGUUUAACUGGGUUCUCUUUAUCUACCUUUAGGAAUCUGCUGAUGUUUUAGGUUAAUGCGGAAAUGUAUAAAAUUCGAAACACAAACUUUCAAGCACCACCGUAAAUAAUAAUAUGUUAACAAUAAAAUAUAUAAUUGAUUAAUUAUUCAUUUUCAGAAUUGUUAAUUAUUUGUAAUUAUGUUAAUAAUAAUAGAAGAAUACUAAAUAAUAUGAUCAUAGUACUAAUUUAUACUUAUAACAGGAAGCAGUAGAAGAAAUUAAAAAUAAUGAAAAAUAAAUUAUAUAUAAAAUAAAACUCUAAAAUAAUAAUAAUUGUGUGGUGGAGUUUUAAUGAAAGCAAUGGUCAGACCACUUACCCCCCGUUUUCAUGAUUUUCAGAGUCUUUGAUGUCACACUGACCUCCACUGCGUUCUCAUUACAGUAAUAUCGACCAGAGUCUGAGAACGAGACAUUAAAUAUACUCAGAAUCAGACGUCUUCCUGAGCUGUAACGUCUGUCUGGAUCAGUGAUGUGUUUGAUAACCGUGUCCUUGUAGACGCUGAGAAUCUUCUCCCUUUUUCCACCCACAUCUCUGCUCCAGGUCACGUUACCGUUAGUCUCUCCACAUUUAAGCAUACAGAUGCUUUUCUCUGGACAAGAUCGUUUUUCUGUCAGUCAGAGUGCAGGAGAAAAUACAGUGUCAGUAAACAGUCGAAGUCAAGCUGCCUCAGUAAAACUUCCUCGUUCUGUAAAACUAGUUUGCUCUUAGCUAUGUUUAUUCACUAACCUAACCAGUGUAGAUGGUGAUAGACGUCUGUUUUGAGGGACUGUCACACCUUCCUUUAUGUGCUGCCUUCAUGUGAAUAAUUCCAACCAAAAAAGUAGAACUGGUUAUGAC